rnacentral:rRNA from 1 species
AACGAACGCUGGCGGCGCGCCUAAUACAUGCAAGUCGAGCGAGAAGGUGUAGCAAUACACUUGUAAAGCGGCGAACGGGUGAGGAAUACAUGGGUAAUCUACCAUCGAGUGGGGAAUAACCAACCGAAAGGUUGGCUAAUACCGCGUACGCCUCCGAAUCUUCGGGUUCGGAGGGAAAGCUGCACUGUGAGUGUAGCGCUCUUUGAUGAGCUCAUGUCCUAUCAGCUUGUUGGUAGGGUAACGGCCUACCAAGGCUUUGACGGGUAGCUGGUCUGAGAGGACGAUCAGCCACACUGGCACUGCGACACGGGCCAGACUCCUACGGGAGGCAGCAGUAAGGAAUAUUGCGCAAUGGGCGAAAGCCUGACGCAGCGACGCCGCGU